CGGACGGGGGAGUAAUGUCAGGGAAACUGCCCGAUGGAGGGGGAUAACUACUGGAAACGGUAGCUAAUACCGCAUAACGUCGCAAGACCAAAGAGGGGGACCUUAGGGCCUCUUGCCAUCGGAUGUGCCCAGAUGGGAUUAGCUAGUAGGUGGGGUAACGGCUCACCUAGGCGACGAUCCCUAGCUGGUCUGAGAGGAUGACCAGCCACACUGGAACUGAGACACGGUCCAG
rnacentral:rRNA from 1 species